rnacentral:rRNA from 1 species
CGGUCUGCUACCUCUUACCCAUGUCUUUUGAGUACCUUCGUUUCCUCGGCGGGUCCGCCCGCCGAUUGGACAACAUUCAAACCCUUUGCAGUUGCAAUCAGCGUCUGAAAAAACAUAAUAGUUACAACUUUCAACAACGGAUCUCUUGGUUCUGGCAUCGAUGAAGAACGCAGCGAAAUGCGAUAAGUAGUGUGAAUUGCAGAAUUCAGUGAAUCAUCGAAUCUUUGAACGCACAUUGCGCCCCUUGGUAUUCCAUGGGGCAUGCCUGUUCGAGCGUCAUUUGUACCUUCAAGCUCUGCUUGGUGUUGGGUGUUUGUCUCGCCUCUGCGUGUAGACUCGCCUUAAAACAAUUGGCAGCCGGCGUAUUGAUUUCGGAGCGCAGUACAUCUCGCGCUUUGCACUCAUAACGACGACGUCCAAAAGUACAUUUUUACACUCUUGACCUCGGAUCAGGUAGGGAUACCCGCUGAACUUAAGCAUAUCAAUA